AAAAAAGAACCUUAAGGAAGCGGGAAGGAGAGUAGCAUGUAGAAGAAAGGUCCUGAGGAGAGGGAAUCACUGCUGUGAGUAAAAUGCUACUGAUGUACAAUAGGGCAGAAGUCACUCUCUCUGUUGUGGACCUUAAAGUCCCUGAGAAUAUUGGAUAGAGUCAGAAGUACAUGGAGGAAGAGAGCUGUGGGGAUUUAGUCUGAAGCUGUGAAGGAAUGACCUGCAGUUGCUACAAGUGAAACUUGCCUUCUGAGAAUUCUCAAGUUUGAGACAUGAGUACAGUGAAGAAGAUAAUUUUGGUCCCUUUCCAAAAGAUGUUCUACCUCAAAACUCCUCCUACAUCAGGAUUCCACUGGAGUAAACUUUGAAGAAUUUACAAACUAAUGAUAACCACUAUUACAUUCAGAGUGAGUGGUCUAAAAAUUUGAAGUGACGCGUGGAAAACAAAAAUCCUGUGGAGGGCUGUGCCUCUGGAAGCAGUUGCAGCACUGGAAAAAAAGUGUUGUUGCAAAAUGGAAUUGGGUCAUUUGGUAGAUCAGUAGUUUCUCCUUGCAAGCAGAAGAUGAUUACAGGCUGUGAGGAGGGAGAAGAAAUGUUGAGCUCAACAAUCCUCCUGAUGCGUCACAACAAGAUGAGACUCUAUUUUGCUCUCUUCAUCUUGUGCCUCCAUGCUGCCUGUGGCAAUUGUGUUUCUUGCUGCUUUUUCUUUCUCCUCCCUUUACUUUGCUAGGAACCAUGGCUUAUGAUGGUCUAUCUUUUAAAUAACAAUUCAGUGAUAUUUGCAGAUCACUCAUUGGGCAGUAGCGCUCCUCAGCUGCAAGUGGAAGGCACCACACUCUGAUAGAUGCUGUCUAUGGUUAGCCAGAUCUGUACAAAUUUGGAGGUCCAUGGGGGUGGAACUCCAGAGGUGCUUUCUCAGCAGGGCACAACCAGCUGACUUCAGGAAGCUGUACUAGUACACCCAGAGCUGGAGUGCCCACAUUUCCAGCACAUGGUGUGUGCAGGUGGGAGGCUCCCCAAAAAGUUGAUACAACCCUCCUGAGACGAACAGCUUUCCCUCAGAGCAGAGCCCUACCCUGGAAUUGCCUUCCAUCAGCACAUGGCUCCCCCAGCAGUGUUUACUGGAACAGCAGCACAGAAUCCCUGCUUAGUCUUUUCCAGGACUGGAGACAAAUUACCAUCUAACUCGAAUUAGGAGCAAAAUGUAUAGACUAGUAUGGGAUGCUGCCCAUCUUCUACCGCUGAUGAUUCCAGCGCAGGUAAUUAGGGAAGGAAGAGUACAAGCCUGAAGGGUUUAAUGUGCUGGGUUUACGAAGCAGUAUUUGACAACUGUUUUGUGUAUUUGAAUGCUGGUGCGGGAGGAAGGGGGGCGCGGAAAAGCCAAAAUUAACAAGUUACUGUUCACUCUUCAGUAUAAAUUUCCUUCCGUUUGAAAGCUGACAUCAGCCUCUGAAUAUUGUACAUGUACUUAUCCCCUAACUGAUAAUGUUUGGUUUUGUAUUUUGCAUCUUUUCUUGUGAGAGUGUGAAGCCCUCAGGCUUUUGGUUAAUAAAGGCUUGU